rnacentral:lncRNA from 1 species
CUGGCCAAGGGCAAGUGCUCCAGGCAAGAAAAUUUAAGUUUUGGAAUUAGAGCUCUCACAGCUUUGCCUGUUACUGGUUAAUGUGGCCCUGUGAGAAUGACACCUGUUAUGGCUUAAAGGCAAAACUCCUCCAUAGGCUCAGGUGGUUGAACACUUGGUCCCCAAGUGCUGGCCUUGCUUUGGAAGGUUGUGGAACCCCACUGGAGAAAGUGGGUCACUCUGAGGAGAGCCUGGAGACUUAUGAUCGCAUCCUACUUCCUGACUGAUCACUGCUGUCUGACAACAGAAAUCUCUAUCCAUAGGACAACCAAACUAAGGAUGCUGGGAUGAAAAAGGGCAGAGUCAGAGGAGCCAUCAGCAGAUGUAGAGCAAGCAGGACAUGCCAAAAAUGAGGAUGGACUCGAUCAAAGGUUGCAAGAGUCGUCCUGAGAUUUGAUUCAAUUUGCAAUCGACUGAGGAAGUGCUCUGGGGAGUGUGCUCGGCUGAGAUGAUAUCCUCACCAGGGGCCAUACCUGUAGCAGCCGGAACAUUUCUUCUAAGAUGUUCCUUUAUUCCUGUCACGCCUCCCCUCACACUCAGAAAUCCACAGAAAGACACAAAGAGAAUUCCUUCUUGCGUCUCAUUCCCAAGAGGAAGGCUUUGCAUCGUUAAAAUAACCAUCCUAAAACCAAGAAAGUUAGAAUGUAAAGGAAGAAAAUGUAAAAGUGCAAUGCAUCUGCAAACAAAUUACAGGUUUUUGUGCAAUAAACGAUACUUA